rnacentral:snRNA from 1 species
GGAUGUAACCGCAUCUGCACAAUUUCCCAACAUGAUCUGCCUGGCUAGGAAGAUGUCCCCCCAUCUCUCACCACUCCCUGUGCAUCCCUCCAGAAGCUGCAUGCUUAGUAAAAGAGGAUAACCUUCCCCAAAUGGAGAUGGACUGGUCUUCAGUCGAGGGUAUAUGAGUAUCUGUGCUCCCCUGCUAGAGCACCCAAACAAGCUCUCAAGGUCCUCUUCUGUGCUCAGAAAUUGGGGCUGAACUCUCUUCUUCUAGAUUUCAGA